CUACGUGCCAGCAGCCGCGGUAAUACGGAAGGUCCAGGCGUUAUCCGGAUUUAUUGGGUUUAAAGGGAGCGUAGGCGGACGAUUAAGUCAGCUGUGAAAGUUUGCGGCUCAACCGUAAAAUUGCAGUUGAAACUGGUUGUCUUGAGUGCACGCAGGGAUGUUGGAAUUCAUGGUGUAGCGGUGAAAUGCUUAGAUAUCAUGAAGAACUCCGAUCGCGAAGGCAUAUGUCCGGAGUGCAACUGACGCUUAAGCUCGAAGGUGCGGGUAUCAAACAGGAUUAGAUACCCUGGUAGUCCGCACAGUAAACGAUGGAUGCCCGCUGUUGGUACCUGGUAUCAGCGGCUAAGCGAAAGCAUUAAGCAUCCCACCUGGGGAGUACGCCGGCAACGGUGAAACUCAAAGGAAUUGACGGGGGCCCGCACAAGCGGAGGAACAUGUGGUUUAAUUCGAUGAUACGCGAGGAACCUUACCCGGGCUUGAA
rnacentral:rRNA from 1 species